CUUCCUUGCAGACUCAACGUGCAUCACAAAGGACUUUCCCGCGACGCCCUCCCUCUCUCCCUCUCUCUCUCUCUGGAUAAGGACUCCCUCGAUUGAUUGAAUGAGAGAGAAGAAGAAGAAGGAGAAGAAGAAGAAGAAGAAGAAGAAGAAGAAGAAGAAGAAGAAGAAGAAGAAGAAGACGAAGACGAAGAAGAAGAAGAAAUAAAGAACAAAAUAGAAAGGAGAGUGAGUGAAAAAAAUGAUAAAAGGGAGUAUGAAAACAAGAAUAAAAAAAUAAAUAAAAGAAAAUAAAAUAAAAAACAAAGAUGGAAAAAUGCAUUAAAGAGAAAAAGAGAAAUAAAAGGAAGAAAAGAAGAAGAGAAGGAAAGGAACGAGAUGGAAGAGGAGGAGUUAGCAAAUAUUAUAUACCAUGAAAAAUUGAAAUGGAGGAGGAGAAGGAGGAGGAGGAGGAGGAGAAGGAGAAGGAGGAGGAGGAGGAAGCAGAAGAGAUGUGCAGGAGGCGAACGAGGAAGAAGCAGUAAACGAAAGAGGAGGAGGAGGAGGAGGAGGAGGAGGAGGAGAAGGAAUAUAAUAGAGAAAGAAAGAAGAAUGGAGGAGGAAAAAAGAAGAAGAAGAAGGAAAAGAAAGAGGAACCAGAAGACAAAAUACAAGAAGUGAAGGAAGGUGAAGGAAGAACCGAAGGAGGAGGAGGAGGAGGAGGAAGAGGAUGAAUAUGAUAAAGAAUAACGAGAGGAAGAAGAAGAGGAAGAAGAAAGAGGAAACAGGAAACAGGAAACACGACAAAUAAGAGGUGAAGGAGGGCGAAGGAGUAAACAAAGGAGAAGGAAGAAUAUAAUAAAGAAGGGGGAAAGAGGAAAGAAGAGGAAAGAAGAGGAAAAAAGCGACACAUUUUCAACUUUCCUCUAGUUUUUAUAUUUCAAG